UCCGGUUUGUCACCGGCAGUCCCAUUAGAGUGCUCAACUGAAUGUGGCAACUAAUGACAAGGGUUGCGCUCGUUGCGGGACUUAACCCAACAUCUCACGACACGAGCUGACGACAGCCAUGCAGCACCUGUCUCCGGUCCAGCCGAACUGAAGAACUCCAUCUCUGGAGUCCGCGACCGGGAUGUCAAGGGCUGGUAAGGUUCUGCGCGUUGCGUCGAAUUAAACCACAUGCUCCACCGCUUGUGCGGGCCCCCGUCAAUUUCUUUGAGUUUUAGCCUUGCGACCGUACUCCCUAGGCGGCACACUUAUCAAUUUCUCUACGACCAAUACGGGGUGAAACCCGCAUCGAUCUAGUGUGCAUCGUUUAGGGCGUGGACUAC
rnacentral:misc_RNA from 1 species